CCUACGGGCGGCAGCAGUGAGGAAUAUUGGUCAAUGGGCGGAAGCCUGAACCAGCCAAGUAGCGUGCAGGAUGACGGCCCUACGGGUUGUAAACUGCUUUUAUACGGGAAUAACGCGCCUUACGUGUAGGGCUUUGCAUGUACCGUAUGAAUAAGGACCGGCGAAUUCCGUGCCAGCAGCCGCGGUAAUACGGAAGGUCCGGGCGUUAUCCGGAUUUAUUUGGUUUAAAGGGGGCGUAGGCAGCAGGUCAAGAGUGCUGUGAAAUGUCCGGGCUCAACCCGGGCCUUGCAGCGCGAACUGGCGUGCUUGAGUCCGCGGAAAGCAGGCGGAAUUCGUCGUGUAGGGGUGAAAUGCUUAGAUAUGACGAAGAACCCCGAUUGCGAAGGCAGCUUGCUGCAGCGGAACUGACGCUGAUGCUCGAAAGCGCGGGUAUCGAACAGGAUUAGAUACCCUGGUAGUC
rnacentral:rRNA from 1 species